rnacentral:rRNA from 1 species
AACGUAGGUACCGAGCGUUAUCCGGAUUUACUGGGCGUAAAGCGCGUUCAGGCGGUUUGGCAAGUCGGGCAUGAAAUCUCUCGGCUCAACCGGGAGAGGUUGUCCGAUACUUCCAGACUUGAGGGCAGUAGAGGGUGGUGGAAUUCCGGGUGUAGUGGUGAAAUGCGUAGAUAUCCGGAGGAACACCAGUGGCGAAAGCGGCCACCUGGACUGGCACCUGACGCUGACACGCGAAGGCUAGGGGAGCGAACGGG